rnacentral:snoRNA from 1 species
CUUAAGGAUGCGUUCUUGCUGUAAAUAUGGACAAACAGCAAUUUGUAGGCUUUAGGUGGGCAUCUGGUGAGUAUUGAGGUGCCCAUAAAGAACCUACAUACACCA